rnacentral:lncRNA from 1 species
UAAUAGAAAAAUUCACAUUGUAAUAUCGUAAUGUUAUAAUAAUUAUUUUACAUUCAUAAUUUGAUUAUAUAACAAUUAAUAUAUUAUAUGUCCGUAAACAAGUAUAUAUACUAUUUUAUAUUAUAUAAUAUGUACUAAAUCUAAUUAUGUCACAUUACAAAAUAAGUUCAUAUCAUAAUUGUAGAGCCCAAUAUUUGCCCGGCCCGCUAAAGAAACCAAAAAGAAAAAAAACAAAAACAAAAUUAACCCCAGCCCAAUACCCUUUGGCCCAACAGACCCAAGCCAUUAACCUUGUACAGCCCAAAAACAGGAAACCCUAAGCAGUGGCAGCAAACUGGCGCCGCAACUGCUGCCCCAUUGCGCGCCUCCGUCUGCACGCACACCUCCGCGAAAUCCGCGCACGUCACACCUACAGCAACGAACAGAAACAAACAGCAAAAAAGAAGGCAUAUACAAACGCAACAAUAACAGAAAAUAAGGAUGCUUUUCGUAUUUUACGGGAUUUUUAUUCAUUUAUCUUUCUUUUUUUUCGGGUAUAAAAUCGAUGGAAAAAAUCUGUAAAAUGGGGGGGAUUUUUUCAGUGUAAAAGAUAUACGAAAACAGAGAGAAAUCUUUUGAAUACUAAAGGUGAAUUUUUUGUUUUCAUUUUAUUCUUGGGUGUUCAUUAUUCCUAGGAAGGAUUUUCUUUUUUCUUUUUAUUUUUUUAUUUUUUUCGGUUAAAAUAUAAAAAAAGGGAGAGGAUCUUACCUGGUGCCGUCGCUGUGUCCCCUCUUCGUCGCAAUCGGAGGCCGGGGCGUCGUCGAAGGCCGUGGGAGGCUUGAGUGGCGGCGGCGGCAUAAAAAGGGAGAAACCCUAGCUGAGGGUUUCUCUGCUAUUUAGAAUGGAAAAGAAAAAAUGAAUUUUGAAAGGAAAUUUUUGAUUUUAUAACAAGACCAAAACGGCGCUGUAUAGGGCCAUACCCAAGUGCGUGACCCGACCCGCCUGCGGAUCCGCGCAUUUCCACUCGGAAUGGGAUAUUUUUUCAAUCAGUCCCCCUGAUUUUGAUUCGUUUUCAAAAUUGUUAUUUCAAAUAUUUGCAAUUUUAGCCACGUUGUUUCUCUUCCGUUUUAAUUUGGUCCAUUGACCAUGCGCAUGGGCCUCACUGGUACGACGCAGUUCGAUCGGAAUGGGAAUAUUUCCCUUCUGGUCCUCCUCCUUUCACGCGAGUUGUGAAUCUGUC